UUCCUCCCACCGUCGUCUUACCAAUAGGGAUGAGUUUAACCCCCACGCAGCACCCUCUCCUCCCGCAUGCAACUAUCCUGCAUUUGCAUUAACCCAAUUUGCACUGCGUUAACUCAGGAGCAGAGGCUGAGGGCAGUGUUCCCGCUGAAGAUUUUCCGCCCAAGAGCAGAGUGAAUUUUGUCUCGUGCACCAGUAUUGAAGUCAAAGAAAGCAAGUCCCAGCGCGUGCCUCUGGAGACACACCCAGUAAGUUCCCGGCACACCACAGACUUGGGGCAAGGAAGCAGCCAGCGCAUUUCCGGAACCCCCAGAAGCGACGCGCAGCUGCAGGACUUCCGUCCACCCCACGGGAAGGUGCCAUUAGCUCCAGUGUCACUCGAGUUUUUGGAACUAUCAUGGAAGUAUAACUCCUUCUGAACAUCAACAUCAUCAAUAAAGCAAACAACAAUAUAUGAUAACAUUAAAAAACAAAUGCUGUAUUUUAUGCAUUUAAAAUGGGGGUGGGGAACCUAAUGCCCAGGGGCCAGAUGCAGCCCCCAGCUUGCCUGGAUCUGACCCCCAAGGCUUGGGGCUCCCCUCACCAUUGGGGAGCCCAUGCUGGUGAGGAGUGGGUUUUUUUGUUUCUCACUCGUGGGCAGUCCCUGACUGAUUUUUCUGUGGGUCAGUGGCCCCUGACUCUAAAAAGGUGACCCACCCCUGAUUUAGAAUUUACAAAUACAGAUGUAAAAUCAGGUUCUGCAAAUCUUAGUUAAUUCAAAAACUUCCAUGCUCAUCCCUUAAUUAUUUCCUAAUCUCUUACAUCUUCCUGUCCCAUUUUUUAAAAAUAUUCAAAUUAGCCACUAGGUGUUCACACUAAUCCACUAAUCAUGUAGAUGAUAACAUUUUUAUCAACUACAUGAUUACCGUGUUUUAGCAUAGAUAACCCGCAGGUUAUGCAAAGUUUUACAACUCCCCCACCCCUGCAAGCUAUACUCGUCUUCAUGUAAUACAGGGGUUUUUUUACUUCGGUGACGGCUGAGGUGCCGAAUCAGAAUCGCUGUCGUAGCCUGAGCAGCUGUCACAGGGAGAGACCAAGCAGGCAGAGCAGAGGAAGAUGAGAAUUCAGGGAAGAGGUAA